CUUUGUAUGAUGUUGGGAGAGUGAAGUGAAGCCAGACACAGAAGCUAGGAUUUAGAGGUUCCCAAUAAAUGGUGCCUCUUACAUAAAGAAGAGGAAGGAGGGGCUAGAGGGAAUAAGUGAGCAGGCGGCUGGUCAGGUGCAGAAACAGGGCCUGACCUCCAUGCAGGGCUCUGUCCACUGCAGCCAGCAUUCCUCUCCAGCCCAGGUCAGAGCCCCAGAGGAGCAACACUGGGCUAAGUUGAGGCACCCCUGCAACCUGGCCCAUCACCAAACGUUUGAGAUCUUUAUGAUCGUGCCACACCAACCUCGGGGUGUUUCUGUACGGCAUGCACUCUCAGCCAUCUGUGGUCAGCCAGGGCAUGCCUCUGGAAUUCCUCUUCCUGUGCUGUAAGGGUUGACUAAUGGCAAAGCAGGCUCCAUUUGUCAAGCUGCAGUGAAAAAAAUACCAGUCGUGCUCCAACUUGUAGGGUGGCCUCCGACGCUGGAGGAGAAGUGCCCCUCAGGGCACACUGACUUCCAUCUAUCCUCCCUUCCAGCCGCCUGGCAAUUCCUCCUCAUCCUCCACAGGGUCAUUUGAAACCUUGGAUUUUUCUCACUAAUUGAAGUUCACGUGCACACACAACCCCUAGGAGGAUUACAGAUCUAAGGAGAUUCAGAAGGAUUUUCACAUGAACAGUGACUUCAUCAUAUUUUGGGGUUUUCAUCUUUGAUCAUUUUUGGCAGCAAAUGUGACAAGUAGAUUGAAUAAGGAAGAAACUAGAAAAAAGAAAACCAAUUAAGAGGUAACCCUGAGAUAACUAACCUAAAAAAUUAGUGGAAGAAGAAUCGAAAUUCUCUAAUGACCCACCUAAAGGUAGAUACUGAAGUGCAGUAAGCAUGUAAAUAGUGAAGGGAUGGGCUAAUAAAUCAAGCUGGAUAAUCAUCUGAAAAUAAAGAUUUUGAUGUGAGCUUCAGACCUUGCAUGGAUUGAUAAAUUAAUAUUUCAAAGCUUGUAACUAUCACAAAUUUUAUUUUCAUGCACUAUUCUGGAAUCCUGGAUUAUAAAUUUCAAUGAGAUUUUCUGUCUCAUGGAUUUAAGUCAGAUUAUAUGGAUCU
ensembl:lncRNA